UACGUAGGAUGCGAGCGUUAUCCGGAUUUAUUGGGUUUAAAGGGUGCGUAGGCGGAUCGUUAAGUCAGUGGUCAAAUUGAGGGGCUCAACCCCUUCCCGCCAUUGAAACUGGCGAUCUUGAGUGGAAGAGAAGUAUGCGGAAUGCGUGGUGUAGCGGUGAAAUGCAUAGAUAUCACGCAGAACCCCGAUUGCGAAGGCAGCAUGCCGGCUUCCUACGGACGCUGAAGCACGAAAGCGUGGGGAUCGAACAGG
rnacentral:rRNA from 1 species